UCUCUUUUGGAAUUCUCAGGGUGUCAUUCUUCCAACUUUACUGAUGAGGAAACCAAGCCCAGGGGGUAAGGGAUAAUAUGUCCAGAGAAAGUAAAGGAAACAGGAAAAGAAACAGGGAAGUAAAGGAAAGGGGAUUCAAACAGAGGCCUGCUGAGGAUCCUGUCAUGCCAUGCUGAAAGAUGACCCACUGGUGCCUUCACGUCUCAUCUCAUGUAUCAAUCUACACAAACUUACAGAGUGGACAACAGAAGAUGAGGAAACUAAAGUUUGGUGAGGCAAAGCAAGUUGCCCAAGAUCAACACCCAGGACAUGGGAGAGCAGGAUUGCAAUCUGGCCGGCUAGCCCUGGAGCCCACACUCCCGAAAACCACAGUUGGCUCUCUUGCUGCUAUCUCUGUUGGUCUUCCUGCUUCGUGUCCCUCCUUCAGGAGCCAAGAAUGGGAGGCAUGGCCCUGUAUCUCGACUGUCUUGAGAUUCCGCCACACGUGGAAGGUGUUUCAGACACUGGCCAAUCCUCAAAGGGAGGUCUCACUGGACUGA
rnacentral:lncRNA from 1 species